rnacentral:rRNA from 1 species
AACGAACGCUGGCGGCAUGCCUAACACAUGCAAGUCGAACGAGACCUUCGGGUCUAGUGGCGCACGGGUGCGUAACGCGUGGGAACCUGCCCUUAGGUUCGGAAUAACUCCCCGAAAGGGGUGCUAAUACCGGAUAAGGUCUUCGGACCAAAGAUUUAUCGCCUUUGGAUGGGCCCGCGUUGGAUUAGCUAGUUGGUAGGGUAAAAGCCUACCAAGGCGACGAUCCAUAGCUGGUCUGAGAGGAUGAUCAGCCACACUGGGACUGAGACACGGCCCAGACUCCUACGGGAGGCAGCAGUGGUGAAUAUUGGACAAUGGGCGAAAGAAUGAUCCAGCAAUGCCGCGUGAGUGAUGAAGGCCUUAGGGUUGUAAAGCUCAUUUACCCGGGCUGAUAAUGACAGUACCGGGAGAAUAAGCUCCGGCUAACUACGUG